rnacentral:lncRNA from 1 species
UUGCCCCAGCCGCCCUAGCCCAAGACGCGCGCAUCCCCGCAGCCUCAGAUUCCUUCAUCACCCCCUAGACCGGAGCUGGCGCGUCCAAUAAGGUGCCAGGUCCGCGGCCUCCCCGCCACCGACCAAUCACGAGCGAGCCCCCCCGCCGUCGCCUUCCGCCAAUGGGAGAAAGCCCGCGGGCCGGGCCGACGAGGCACACGGACCCCACGAGCGCGGCGGCGGCGACAGCAGCGGGCCAGGCAAGAGCACAACAUGGCGGCGGGCAGGACGGACCGAGCUACAGCAGCGGCCGCGCGAGGAAGUGAGGUCUCUGGCGAAGGCGGGAAGCGCUGCCCCUCCCCCCGCCGCCGCUUCCCUAUCACCCUCGCACAGAAACUCCCGCACACUCACACACCUCUGCUCAGGAGUCCAGGAAGAGCAGGAGCCGCCCCCGCGCUCCUACGGAGUCGGGCAAUGCAGAGGCCCAGGCGCGGCGGAGGGGAGGGGGAAGUGUGCGUCACGGAGAACGGAGCGCGCGCGAAGCGGGGGCACAAGCAAGAUGGCGGCCACGCCGUUUGCACCGUUUCCCCUUUUCCCUUCCCCCUCCCUUGGCGCCUGGACUCCCAGUAUCGUGCGGUGCGCAGAAGCUGUGCUCCUUGAGGUCUCGCGAGAAUUGGGAAGGGGCGACGACAGAGGGAGGCGGAAUGAGAUCUGAGAGUUUUAACCCCGCCCCCUUUCGGGAGCUCGAGAUCUGAGUUUUGACCCCGCCCCCUUUCGGGGGAUCCGGAGGCGCUGCCCAGUGACCUCCACCACCCUGCCUAUCCUUGUGGAUCUCCUUGGUGCGAGCUUGAAUUUUAGGAAAUAAGUAGGUGUGUGCGCGUGCCCUUGAGUUUUAGGAACUAAGUAGGGGCGUGUGUGUGUAUUUGUGUUUUUAAUUUGGGGAGAAAGAACUGGGGGAUGAAGGUCGACAUGGCGUUCCAGAUUAAGCAUGCCGUUCAAGUAGACAGCUACUGGCACCUUAAAUUCAUAAAAGAGCAUUUAGCACCAAACUGUAAAGUGAUGUCCUCUAGAAUAAAGAACAGUACUUACCAAGAAUAGUUAGCUUGUAACCUUACGUCGACAUAGUUGUUCUUAUUUGAAUGCAGAUUUUAAAGUUUUAUCACGCAGUUGGAAACCACAGCUACUAUGAGCAUGGAUUUUUUCAUACUUAUCUCUUUCAUUUCCGUGACCACUUGGUCCAAAGGCAUCAGGAUUGUAUCCAUUUUACAAAUGAUAAAACUGAAGCUCAAAAAGGUUAAGUAACUUGAUCUAAGUCCCCACAGCUAGUAAGUGUCAAAACCCCAUCCGAAUAACUUCAAAACCUGUAGGUAUAGUCAUCAAAUGUGUCUUGAAUGGAAUUACCUACAGUGAGAGUUAGUGCAUUAGGUAACAAGCGCAGAGAGGAAUGACUGCCUCUGCUGAUGGUAACCUUGAAUUUUACAAAUGACACUGGAGCCUUUCUGAGACUAGUGUUGCAUGGGUCCUCAAUAAAAUCACACUGUUGUUACUCACUUCCUUUGGGUUUAUAACCCUGGUGAUAAAGUAAUUGAGAAUAGUGGAGUAAACCCUCGACUUGAAUUCAGGAAAAUUGUUUUCAAAUCCAGUUUCAAUAAAUCUCACAUCAGGCACUCUAUUUGAUGAAUGAAUGAACAAAACCUAACUAUAAGACACUUGACUUCAGGGAGUCUCAAUUCCUUCAUCUGUAAAAAGAUCUAAUUCCUAACUUUUGGUAAUGUUGGGGAGAGUGAAUGAAAUAAUGUGAGAGUGCUUCGUAAAUUGCAAAAGUGUUAUAAAGAAGUUACUGGUAAGAGCUACGAGUGUCUCGCUGCACUCUAGCAUGGGCGACAGUGCGAGGCCCUGUCUCAGAAAAAAAAAAAGUUACUUAUAAUGACAUUUUCAGACAUGAGAAAUGGCAUAAAAUUAAAAACAGAUUCAAGAGAAUAGUAUGUUGAGAUUGUAGAGACAGAUGUAGCUAAUGGAAAAAAGCUAAAUAAGUCUCUCUACAGAUGUUUAUUGAGUACUUAUUGCAUAUACUAUGCUUGCCAAAAAAUGUAAAAGUGUACAUUUAGUUACAAUGAAGCAGCACAAGUUAUUAUUAGUGAUUAUUGUUAUAAUUAAGUAUUGAUCACACUUAGGGGCUGCAGUCUAUUUCCUUCCAAGAGCCUGGAAGUUGGGUUGCCCUCAGAAAUAAAUAAAAAUCUACAUAGAGGAAAUUAGCUAAGAGUGAUAUUAAGUAUAUUUAACAACAAGUAGUGCUCAAGCAUAGAUGAAGCAGAAUUAGAAAUGCAGCUAGGAUCCUGGAGGUAUACGUCUGUGCUAGGUGUUAACCCUUCAGUUGCUGGUUUGUGAAUAGGAGGUCCCAAGGGAUCCCAGGGGAAGGGAGUGGUCAGGAGGUUUGGGACAGCAGCUAUUUACCAGGUAGUACUAGAGUAUUUCAGUAUUUUAAUAGUCAAUGUUAUAACUGAUAACAGUCAAUUGAUACAUAUAAGCCUAAUAUUAGUCCUUGCUAUAGUCUUUAUUAUCAAUAGCCUCCGCCCUUCCCUUUCUAAAGCCGUUGCUAUCUGGCCUGUCCCUAGGAGAUUAGGGUGAAAGACUUCUCACCCUAAUGUCGUCAAGCUUGGCCUUGUUUUGACCAAUGAAAUAUGAGUAGAAAUGGCAUGAACCGGCCGGGCACGGUGGCUCACACCUGUAAUCCCAGCACUUUGGGAGGCCGAGGUGGGUGGAUGACGAGGUCAGGAGUUCAAGACCAGCCUGGCCAAGAUGGUGAAGCCCUGUCUCUACUAAAAAUAAAAAAAUUAGCCAGGUGUGGUGGCAGGCACCUGCAAUCCCAGCUACUCGGGAGGCUGAGGCAGGAGAAUUGCUUUAACCAGGGAGUUGGAGGUUGCAGUGAGCAAAUAUCACGCCACUGCACUCCAGCCUGGGCGACAGAGUGAGACUCUGUCUCAAAAAAAGAAAGAAAGAAAUGGCAUGAACCACUUCUGAGCAGAAAUUUAUGAGCUAUCUUACAAUUUUGCCAUAUUAUCUUUCCUCUGACACAAGAGCAGCAUGUCCUAAAUAGAGCUCCCUCUUCAGCUUUGGUCCCAGAAUGAAGAUGUGCAGAGCGACAGCUGACACACAUAACCUGUAAUGUUGUGUGAACAAUAAAUAAACCUUUGUUGUAAGCC